CCUACGGGACGCAGCAGUGGGGAAUAUUGCACAAUGGGGGAAACCCUGAUGCAGCGACGCCGCGUGAGUGAAGAAGUAAUUCGUUACGUAAACCUCUUUUGUCAGGGAACAAAGACUGGGACGCGUCCCCGGAUGAGUGUACCUGAAGAAAAAGCAUCGGCUAACUCCGUGCCAGCAGCCGCGGUAAUACGGAGGAUGCGAGCGUUAUCCGGAUUUAUUGGGUUUAAAGGGUGCGCAGGCGGUCUGUUAAGUCAGCGGUCAAAGCCCGGGGCUCAUCCCCGGCCCGCCGCUGAAACUGGCAGUGU
rnacentral:rRNA from 1 species